AUUGAACGCUGGCGGCAGGCUUAACACAUGCAAGUCGAGCGGGGGAAGGUAGCUUGCUACCGGACCUAGCGGCGGACGGGUGAGUAAUGCUUAGGAAUCUGCCUAUUAGUGGGGGACAACAUAUCGAAAGUGAUGCUAAUACCGCAUACGUCCUACGGGAGAAAGCAGGGGAUCUUCGGACCUUGCGCUAAUUAAGGAGCCUAAGUCGGAUUAGCUAGUUGGUGGGGUAAAGGCCUACCAAGGCGACGAUAUGUAGCGGGUCCGAGAGGAUGAUCCGGCACACUGGGACUGAGACACGGCCCAGACUCCUACGGGAGGCAGCAGUGGGGAAUAUUGGACAAUGGGUGGAACCCUGAUCCAGCCAUGCCGCGUGUGUGAAGAAGGCCUUAUGGUUGUAAAGCACUUUAAGCGAGGAGGAGGCUACUUUAGUUAAUACCUAGAGAUAGUGGACGUUACUCGCAGAAUAAGCACCGGCUAACUCUGUGCCAGCCGCCGCAGUAA
rnacentral:rRNA from 1 species